rnacentral:rRNA from 1 species
GACGAACGCUGGCGGCGUGCUUAACACAUGCAAGUCGGACGAGCGGCGGACGUGUGAGUAAUGUAUGGGGAUCUGCCUGAUGGAGGGGGAUAACUACUGGAAACGGUAGCUAAUACCGCAUACCAUCAGAUGAACCUAUAUGGGCUUAGCUAGUAGGUGUGGUAACGGCUUACCUAGGCGACGAUCCCUAGCUGGUCUGAGAGGAUGAUCAGACACACUGGGACUGAGACACGGCCCAGACUCCUACGGGAGGCAGCAGUGGGGAAUAUUGCACAAUGGGCGCAAGCCUGAUGCAGCCAUGCCGCGUGUAUGAAGAAGGCCUUCGGGUUGUAAAGUACUGUCGGUCGGGAGGCGUUACCGACAGAAGAAGCACCGGCUAACUCCGUGCCAGCAGCCGCGGUAAUUC